UACAGAGGGGGCAAGCGUUAUUCGGAAUUAUUGGGCGUAAAGGGCGCGUAGGCGGCUUUGCAAGUGGCGGGUGAAAUCCCUCGGCUUAACCGAGGAACUGCCUGCCAGACUGUGAGGCUUGAGACCGGGAGAGGUGAGUGGAAUUCCCAGUGUAGCGGUGAAAUGCGUAGAUAUCAGGAGGAACACCAGUGGCGAAGGCGGUGCUCUGGGCCGGAACUGACGCUGAGGCACGAAGGCCAGGGGAGCAAACGGG
rnacentral:rRNA from 1 species